rnacentral:lncRNA from 1 species
CAAUUGUUCUCCUUGGAUACUCCCUCUGGUCUCUAUGUAGACAGAGAAAAUUCUCCUCCAGCCUCUGUUGAUCUCUGAAGGUCUUUAAUUCAAAAUGCACGUUACAUCAGGGAUCACUAUUUUGGGGGUCUGCUGUUGUGUGAUGCUAUACUAGAGUCAAGUUGGAAUUUGGCAUCUUAGUGCCAAAGGGUCUGUUUCAUCCAUAUAAGGAUGUCUAUUUUAAUGUUAAUGCUGCAGGACAAGCAGUACCUGAGAGCACUGAGGAGGACCUGGACCCAGUAACUUCUCUAAAUCUAGUGUGGGGGAAGAUGCGCCCCUGCCAUGGAGCCAUGUUCUAUGGCAGGCAACCACUGGUCAAUAAAAAAAUAAUCAGAUGAUGUCAAGUGUAUAUCUAAUUGACAUUAAAAUACACAUUUGAAAAUUUGGAAAUCUUUUUUUAAAUAAAAUUUUUAAAUUUCAUUUUUAAUAUA